UACGUAGGGUGCGAGCGUUUGUCCGGAAUUAUUGGGCGUAAAGGGCUCGUAGGCGGUUUGUCGCGUCGGGAGUGAAAACACACAGCUUAACUGUGUGCUGGCUUCCGAUACGGGCAGACUAGAGGUAUGCAGGGGAGAACGGAAUUCCUGGUGUAGCGGUGAAAUUCGUAGAGAUCGGGUGGAACACCAGUGGCGAAGGCGCCUGUCUGGCUGACAACUGACGCUGAGACUCGAAAGCAUGGGGAGCAAACAGG
rnacentral:rRNA from 1 species